rnacentral:rRNA from 1 species
AACGGAGGUGGCUAGCGUUACUCGGAUUUACUGGGUGUAAAGGGUGCGUAGGCGGCCGCGUGUGUCUGGCGUAAAAUACCACGGCUCAACCGUGGGAAUGCGCUGGAAACUACGUGGCUUGGGUGCGGCAGAGGCAGACGGAACUGCUGGUGUAGGGGUGAAAUCCGUAGAUAUCAGCAGGAACGCCGGUGGAGAAGUCGGUCUGCUGGGCCGUAACCGACGCUGAGGCACGAAAGCUAGGGGAGCGAACCGG